rnacentral:rRNA from 1 species
GUGCUGGCGGAGCUACCAUGCAGUCGAGCGGUAACAGAUCCAGCUUGCUGGAUGCUGACGAGCGGCGGACGGGUGAGUAAUGCAUAGGAAUCUGCCCGAUAGUGGGGGAUAACCUGGGGAAACCCAGGCUAAUACCGCAUACGUCCUACGGGAGAAAGGGGGCUUCGGCUCCCGCUAUCGGAUGAGCCUAUGUCGGAUUAGCUAGUUGGUGAGGUAACGGCUCACCAAGGCGACGAUCCGUAGCUGGUCUGAGAGGAUGAUCAGCCACAUCGGGACUGAGACACGGCCCGAACUCCUACGGGAGGCAGCAGUGGGGAAUAUUGGACAAUGGGGGGAACCCUGAUCCAGCCAUGCCGCGUGUGUGAAGAAGGCCCUCGGGUUGUAAAGCACUUUCAGCGAGGAAGAACGCCUAGCGGUUAAUACCCGCUAGGAAAGACAUCACUCGCAGAAGAAGCACCGGCUAACUCCGUGCCAGCAGCCGCGGUAAUACGGAGGGUGCAAGCGUUAAUCGGAAUUACUGGGCGUAAAGCGCGCGUAGGUGGCUUGAUAAGCCGGUUGUGAAAGCCCCGGGCUCAACCUGGGAACGGCAUCCGGAACUGUCAAGCUAGAGUGCAGGAGAGGAAGGUAGAAUUCCCGGUGUAGCGGUGAAAUGCGUAGAGAUCGGGAGGAAUACCAGUGGCGAAGGCGGCCUUCUGGACUGACACUGACACUGAGGUGCGAAAGCGUGGGUAGCAAACAGGAUUAGAUACCCUUGGUAGUCA